AAGUCCCAGGGUAAAAGAAAUCCUUCAAAAAAGGAAGAAGGAAGGAACUUGUGGCCCCAGCAAACUGACGGAGACGUUAGAGAAGAUAGACAAAGGAUGGAAGUUGAUAUGGGCUCCUGGAAUUUCAGGUCUGCUUAGCAAGAGCUGAAGAGAAAGUUGACUGGCCCAUGAAAGAAAAAUGAUUCAGAAAGUCCCGAGCAAGUGAAACCCAGAAACGUGCUACACUUGUGUCUGGCAGCCUCAUGCCCUGGAG